AGUCUGAGGGCUCCAACAGUGAC
rnacentral:piRNA from 1 species